UACAGAGGGGGCAAGCGUUAUUCGGAAUUAUUGGGCGUAAAGGGCGCGUAGGCGGCUUGGCAAGUGGAAGGUGAAAUCCCUCGGCUUAACCGAGGAACUGCCCUCCAAACUGCUUGGCUUGAGACCGGGAGAGGUGAGUGGAAUUCCCAGUGUAGCGGUGAAAUGCGUAGAUAUUGGGAGGAACACCAGUGGCGAAGGCGGCUCACUGGACCACAACUGACGCUGAGGCGCGAAAGCCAGGGGAGCAAAGCGGG
rnacentral:rRNA from 1 species